rnacentral:sRNA from 1 species
GCUGGGUGAGGUGGUGUACUCCUGUAAUCUCAGUGACUUGAGAGGCUGAGACAGGAGGAUCACACGUUUGAGGUCUGCCUCAGCACGUUAACAAGGCCCCCAGCAACUUAGAGAAGACUCUGUCUCAA